UACGGAGGGUGCGAGCGUUGUCCGGAAUUAUUGGGCGUAAAGGGCUCGUAGGCGGUUUGUCGCGUCGGGAGUGAAAUCCACUGGCUUAACUGGUGGCUUGCUUUCGAUACGGGCAGACUGGAGGUAUGCAGGGGAGAACGGAAUUCCUGGUGUAGCGGUGAAAUGCGCAGAUAUCAGGAGGAACACCGGUGGCGAAGGCGGUUCUCUGGGCAUGUCCUGACGCUGAGGAGCGAAAGUGUGGGGAGCGAACAGG
rnacentral:rRNA from 1 species